GAUGAACGCUGGCGGCGUGCCUAAUACAUGCAAGUCGAGCGAACAGACGAGGAGCUUGCUCCUCUGACGUUAGCGGCGGACGGGUGAGUAACACGUGGAUAACCUACCUAUAGGACUGGGAUAACUUCGGGAAACCGGAGCUAAUACCGGAUAAUAUAUUGAACCGCAUGGUUCAAUAGUGAAAGACGGUUUUGCUGUCACUUAUAGAUGGAUCCGCGCCGCAUUAGCUAGUUGGUAAGGUAACGGCUUACCAAGGCAACGAUGCGUAGCCGACCUGAGAGGGUGAUCGGCCACAAUGGAACUGAGACACGGUCCAGACUCCUACGGGAGGCAGCAGUAGGGAAUCUUCCGCAAUGGGCGAAAGCCUGACGGAGCAACGCCGCGUGAGUGAUGAAGGUCUUAGGAUCGUAAAACUCUGUUAUUAGGGAAGAACAAAUGUGUAAGUAACUAUGCACGUCUUGACGGUACCUAAUCAGAAAGCCACGGCUAACUACGUG
rnacentral:rRNA from 1 species